rnacentral:snoRNA from 1 species
AUUCCAUGAUGAGGACAGACGGCCACGUAUUCCUGCAAAUGUUCCCAUGCUUCCGGAAUGGACUCAUCCCGCAUCUGCUAGAAGCCCGAAAUUCACCCACGAAGGGC